rnacentral:rRNA from 1 species
UACGGAGGGUGCAAGCGUUAUCCGGAUUCACUGGGUUUAAAGGGUGCGUAGGUGGGCAGGUAAGUCAGUGGUGAAAUCUCUGGGCUUAACCCAGAAACUGCCGUUGAUACUAUCUGUCUUGAAUAUAGUGGAGGUGAGCGGAAUAUGUCAUGUAGCGGUGAAAUGCUUAGAUAUGACAUAGAACACCCAUUGCGAAGGCAGCUCGCUACACUAUUAUUGACACUGAGGCACGAAAGCGUGGGGAGCGAACAGG